UAGGGAAUCUUCCGCAAUGGACGAAAGUCUGACGGAGCAACGCCGCGUGAGCGAUGAAGGCCUUCGGGUCGUAAAGCUCUGUUGUUAGGGAAGAACAAGUACCGGAGUAACUGCCGGUACCUUGACGGUACCUAACCAGAAAGCCACGGCUAACUACGUGCCAGCAGCCGCGGUAAUACGUAGGUGGCAAGCGUUGUCCGGAAUUAUUGGGCGUAAAGCGCGCGCAGGCGGUCCUUUAAGUCUGAUGUGAAAGCCCACGGCUCAACCGUGGAGGGUCAUUGGAAACUGGGGGACUUGAGUACAGAAGAGGAAAGUGGAAUUCCACGUGUAGCGGUGAAAUGCGUAGAGGUGUGGAGGAACACCAGUGGCGAAGGCGACUUUCUGGUCUGUAACUGACGCUGAGGCGCGAAAGCGUGGGGAGCAAACAGGAUUAGAUACCCUGGUAGUCCACGCCGUAAACGAUGAGUGCUAAGUGUUAGAGGGUUUCCGCCCUUUAGUGCUGCAGCAAACGC
rnacentral:rRNA from 1 species